rnacentral:rRNA from 1 species
GACGAACCGAGCGAACGUUGUUCGGAAUCACUGGGCUUAAAGGGCGCGUAGGCGGGCGGCUAAGUCCGCGGUGAAAUCCGUCCAGCUCAACUGGAGAACGGCCCGCGGAUACUGGUCGUCUCGAGGAACGUAGGGGUAUGCGGAACUAUCGGUGGAGCGGUGAAAUGCGUUGAUAUCGAUAGGAACUCCGGUGGCGAAGGCGGCCCCCUGGGCCGGAACCUGACGC